GGGGAAUGUUCCCCACCCUCAACGUGCACAGGCUGAACCUGAACUCCGUCCGGCGCUGUCUCCUCAUCUCCUACGACGCCGAUUCCCAGCUCCUGGAAUUCCGGCACUACAGUGUCCAGGUGGUGCCCGUGGGGCUCAGCCGGGGGAUCCGGAAAAUUCUCCAGGAGAAAUUCCCAGACCUGGGCAGGAUGGACGACGUCAGCGAGCUCCUGACGGGG